rnacentral:rRNA from 1 species
GAUGAACGCUGGCGGCGUGCCUAAUACAUGCAAGUCGAGCGAACGGACGAGAAGCUUGCUUCUCUGAUGUUAGCGGCGGACGGGUGAGUAACACGUGGAUAACCUACCUAUAAGACUGGGAUAACUUCGGGAAACCGUAGCUAAUACCGGAUAAUAUUUUGAACCGCAUGGUUCAAAAGUGAAAGACGGUCUUGCUGUCACUUAUAGAUGGAUCCGCGCUGCAUUAGCUAGUUGGUAAGGUAACGGCUUACCAAGGCAACGAUGCAUAGCCGACCUGAGAGGGUGGUCGGCCACACUGGAACUGAGACACGGUCCAGACUCCUACGGGAGGCAGCAGUAGGGAAUCUUCCGCAAUGGGCGAAAGCCUGACGGAGCAACGCCGCGUGAGUGAUGAAGGUCUUCGGAUCGUAAAACUCUGUUAUUAGGGAAGAACAUAUGUGUAAGUAACUGUGCACAUCUUGACGGUACCUAAUCAGAAAGCCACGGCUAACUACGUGCCAGCAGCCGCGGUAAUACGUAGGUGGCAAGCGUUAUCCGGAAUUAUUGGGCGUAAAGCGCGCGUAGGCGGUUUUUUAAGUCUGAUGUGAAAGCCCACGGCUCAACCGUGGAGGGUCAUUGGAAGCUGGAAAACUUGAGUGCAGAAGAGGAAAGUGGAAUUCCAUGUGUAGCGGUGAAAUGCGCAGAGAUAUGGAGGAACACCAGUGGCGAAGGCGACUUUCUGGUCUGUAACUGACGCUGAUGUGCGAAAGCGUGGGGAUCAAACAGGAUCAGAUACCCUGGUAGUCCACGCCGUAAACGAUGAGUGCUAAGUGUUAGGGGGUUUCCGCCCCUUAGUGCUGCAGCUAACGCAUUAAGCACUCCGCCUGGGGAGUACGUCCGCAAGGUUGAAACUCAAAGGAAUUGACGGGGACCCGCACAAGCGGUGGAGCAUGUGGUUUAAUUCGAAGCAACGCGAAGAACCUUACCAAAUCUUGACAUCCUUUGACAACUCUAGAGAUAGAGCCUUCCCCUUCGGGGGACAAAGUGACAGGUGGUGCAUGGUUGUCGUCAGCUCGUGUCGUGAGAUGUUGGGUUAAGUCCCGCAACGAGCGCAACCCUUAAGCUUAGUUGCCAUCAUUAAGUUGGGCACUCUAAGUUGACUGCCGGUGACAAACCGGAGGAAGGUGGGGAUGACGUCAAAUCAUCAUGCCCCUUAUGAUUUGGGCUACACACGUGCUACAAUGGACAAUACAAAGGGCAGCGAAACCGCGAGGUCAAGCAAAUCCCAUAAAGUUGUUCUCAGUUCGGAUUGUAGUCUGCAACUCGACUACAUGAAGCUGGAAUCGCUAGUAAUCGUAGAUCAGCAUGCUACGGUGAAUACGUUCCCGGGUCU